rnacentral:rRNA from 1 species
AGAGUUUGAUCCUGGCUCAGAUUGAACGCUGGCGGCAUGCCUUACACAUGCAAGUCGAACGGUAACAGGUCUUCGGAUGCUGACGAGUGGCGAACGGGUGAGUAAUACAUCGGAACGUGCCCGAUCGUGGGGGAUAACGAAGCGAAAGCUUUGCUAAUACCGCAUACGAUCUACGGAUGAAAGCGGGGGAUCUUCGGACCUCGCGCGGACGGAGCGGCCGAUGGCAGAUUAGGUAGUUGGUGGGAUAAAAGCUUACCAAGCCGACGAUCUGUAGCUGGUCUGAGAGGAUGAUCAGCCACACUGGGACUGAGACACGGCCCAGACUCCUACGGGAGGCAGCAGUG